rnacentral:rRNA from 1 species
GGGUUGUGAGGUUAAGCGACUAAGCGUACACGGUGGAUGCCCUGGCAGUCAGAGGCGAUGAAGGGCGUGCUAAUCUGCGAUAAGCGCCGGUAAGGUGAUAUGAACCGUUAUAACCGGCGAUACCCGAAUGGGGAAACCCAGUGUGACUCGUCACACUAUCAUUAACUGAAUCCAUAGGUUAAUGAGGCGAACCGGGGGAACUGAAACAUCUAAGUACCCCGAGGAAAAGAAAUCAACCGAGAUUCCCCCAGUAGCGGCGAGCGAACGGGGAGGAGCCCAGAGCCUGAAUCAGCAUGUGUGUUAGUGGAAGCGUCUGGAAAGGCGCGCGAUACAGGGUGACAGCCCCGUACACAAAAGCGCAUGUGCUGUGAGCUCGAUGAGUAGGGCGGGACACGUGGUAUCCUGUCUGAAUAUGGGGGGACCAUCCUCCAAGGCUAAAUACUCCUGACUGACCGAUAGUGAACCAGUACCGUGAGGGAAAGGCGAAAAGAACCCCGGCGAGGGGAGUGAAAAAGAACCUGAAACCGUGUACGUACAAGCAGUGGGAGCCCCACCACUAAGCCAGUGGUGAACUCCACAUACGCAUCCUUUGCUGAGGAUACGGUUAACGGAGCGAAAGCGAC